rnacentral:sRNA from 1 species
GCUGUGUGUGAUGGCACAUGCCUGUAAUCCCUGCUGCUUAGGAGGCUGAGGCAGGAGAAUUGUAAGUUUGAGGGCAGCCUGGGCAAUUUAGUGAGACCCUGUCUUUA